AUUGAACGCUGGCGGCAGGCCUAACACAUGCAAGUCGAGCGGAUGACGAGGGCUUGCUCCUUGAUUCAGCGGCGGACGGGUGAGUAAUGCCUAGGAACCUUCCUGGUAGUGGUGGACAACGUAUGGAAAGGAACGAUAAUACCGCAUCCGUCCUACGGGAGAAAGCAGGGGCCCUUCGGGCCUUGCGCUAUCCGAUGAGCCUACGUCGGAUUAGCUAGUUGGUGGGGUAAUGGCUCACCAAGGCGACGAUCCGUAACUGGUCUGAGAGGAUGAUCAGUCACGCUGGGACUGAGACACGGUCCAGACUCCUACGGGAGGCAGCAGUGGGGAAUAUUGGACAAUGGGCGAAAGCCUGAUCCAGCCAUGCCGCGUGUGUGAAGAAGGUCUUCGGAUUGUAAGGCACUUUAAGUUGGGAGGAAGGGCAGUAAGUUAAUACCUUGCUGUUUUGACGUUACCGACAGAAUAAGCACCGGCUAACUCUGUGCCAGCCGCCGCCGUAAUAC
rnacentral:rRNA from 1 species